UUUUUUUUUUGAGACUUUAUAAAUGAUUAUUCACCACAUACAAAUAUAUGUUUCGUUUAAAUCACAUGUCUUUAUUAUGUAUAGAUAUAUUAAACACACAAUAGAAUAUAGGACUAGUAAUACUAAGCUUAGUAAUACUCCCUCCGGUCUUAUUUACAAGAGAAAAUUGAUUUUUUAGAUACAUUGAAUAAUAUAUGUAUCUAGUCAAGAACCUAAACCAAAUACAUAAAUUAUUUAAUGUAUCUAAAAAGUAAUUUGUAUCUUAUAAAUAUGACCGGAGGGAGUAUAGUCUUACACCAAUGUGAUUAAUUGUAAUGACACAACAAAAUAUACGAUUAAUUGACAUCGUUAUCAAUGUAUAUUUAUUGGGUACCAACACAAAACCUAAAUCAAAUUUCAUUGACUAUUUUAUCAUAAGGUAUACAACACAUUUAUUUGCUCGCACAAUAAAUAAUUCUCCUCUACGGGAAGUUUUUGUACUCUUUUGAGUCUGUUGUCACCUUUGAAAUACUAUCACAUACGUGAUUAACACACUUGUAAAUAAAAAACUUGGACCAAUGUUCAGGACAAUCCGUGUCAGUAUCACAUAAAUGAUAUACUGUAAUGAAAAAUGAUAAUGUUAUUGUGUAUGAAAGAUGAAUAAAAGAAAGAACACAUAAAAAGAAUGGAAAAAAUACUUACUCCAAUCAACUUCCGCUGCAACAAGAAAUAUGGAAAUAAAUAGAAUCAUAGCAUAAACAAACGUAAGAAUUUGAGACAUACUUUCUUCCUUUUUACAUGUAAAAAAUACGAUAUG
rnacentral:lncRNA from 1 species